GAGUAACAUGUCUUUGAUGUGACCUGAUGUGGAUAUGGUCGAUUCGGUGGAGGUGGUUCGUUCCUGCUUGUCUAACGAAGAUGGAA
rnacentral:SRP_RNA from 12 species